ACUUCCUGCAGAAAUCCUCCAGUUAGAAAUGCCUCAGCCAAGGGGACUCAUCUCCUCAAACCUGGGGGACCAAGACCUAUGAGAGGUCACAGCCUGAGCCAGGACAUCAGAGGUACCCAGACACUGUUAUGAAACUCCACAUGUGUCCCUCGUGGACGCUGCUGGACCCAGCACGCACACCUCUCUGCUGAGAGUCACCCUGGAUGAACCACCGUUGGCCAGCGGGGAGCAUGUUGCAGCUUUCCCACGCAGUGGAUGAGAACCAAGGUUACGACCAUUGUGUGGGAGGCGUCUGUGUAGCAAUUGCUGGAAUCACUUGUGGCAAAGACAGCGUGGGAAAGAAGACGCAUUCUGAGGUCACCCCUAUUUGUGUUAAAUGAUCACUUUAACUACUGCUACAGAAGGAAUGUUUAUGUCCCCCACCCAAAUUCAUAUGCUAAGACCUAAUAGCCAAUAAGAUAGUAUGAAUAGAUGGGGCCUUUGGGAGGUGAGUGGCUCAUGAGGGCAGAUUCCUCAAAAUCACGUAAGUGCCCUAAUAAAAGGGGCCCCAGAAAGACCCCUUGAACUGUCCACGAUGUGAAGUGGAGAACACAGCGAGAAGGCCACCUGCAAGUCAGAACGUGGGCCCUCGUCAGAACCUAACUGUGCUGGCACCCUGAUCCUGGACUUCCAGCCUCCAGAAUGACGACAAAUGUUUUUCCUGAGCCAUCCGCUUCAAAGUAUUCUGUCAUAGCUCUCCAAAUAGACUAAGACAUCUACUUAACCUUGGUCAAAUGUUUAACCUUGGAGUCCACACCUGUGAAAUGGUGACGGUAACACUGUGUAUUUCCUACAUUAUGAUCAGGAUUAAUAAAUGUAAUUAAUUAAUCAGAAAUUAGUAAUUUCUCAUUAUUAA